rnacentral:rRNA from 1 species
GAUGAACGCUGGCGGCGUGCCUAACACAUGCAAGUCGAGCGAACGGACGAGAAGCUUGUGCCCUUGAUGUUAGCGGCGGACGGGCGAGUAACACGUGCAUCACCUACUUAUAAGUCUUGGAUAACUUCGGGAAACCGGAGCUAAUACUGGAUCAUACUUCGAACCGCAUGGUUCAAAAGUUAAACACGGUCUUGCUGUCACUUAUAGAUGGAUCCGCGCUGGAUUAGCUAGUUGGUAAGGUAACGGCUUACCAAGGCAACGAUGCGUAGCCGAGCUGAGAGGAUGAUCGGCCACACUGGAACUGAGACACGGUCCAGACUCCUACGGGAGGCAGCAGUAGGGAAUCUUGCGCAAUGGGCGGAAGCCUGACGGAGCAACGCCGCGUGAGUGAUGAAGGUCUUCGGGUCGUAAAGCUCUGUUGUUGGGGAAGAACAUAUGUAUAAGAAAAUGUGGCCGUCUUGACGGUACCUAAUGAAAAAGCCACGGCUAACUACGUG